rnacentral:rRNA from 1 species
AGGACGAACGCUGGCGGCGUGCCUAAUACAUGCAAGUCGAACGGUCUUUCUAUGGAAGCUUGCUUCCACUGAGAAGAUAGUGGCGAACGGGUGAGUAACACGUGGGUAACCUGCCCAUAAGAGGGGGGAUAACAUCCGGAAACGGGUGCUAAUACCGCAUAGUUUUCUUGAUCGCAUGAUCGGGAAAGGAAAGACGGCCUUUGUGCUGUCGCUUAUGGAUGGGCCCGCGGCGUAUUAGUUAGUUGGUGAGGUAACGGCUCACCAAGACGAUGAUACGUAGCCGACCUGAGAGGGUGAUCGGCCACAUUGGGACUGAGACACGGCCCAAACUCCUACGGGAGGCAGCAGUAGGGAAUCUUCCGCAAUGGACGAAAGUCUGACGGAGCAACGCCGCGUGAGUUGAAGAAGGUUUUCGGACCGUAAAACUCUGUUGUCAGAGAAGAACAAGUUGGAGAGUAACUGCUCCAGCCUUGACGGUAUCUGACCAGAAAGCCACGGCUAACUACGUGCCAGCCGCCGC